rnacentral:rRNA from 1 species
UACGGGGGGGGCAAGCGUUGUUCGGAAUUACUGGGCGUAAAGGGCUCGUAGGCUGCCAACUAAGUCAGACGUGAAAUCCCUCGGCUUAACCGGGGAACUGCGUCUGAUACUGGAUGGCUUGAGAUCGGGGAGAGGGAUGCGGAAUUCCAGGUGUAGCGGUGAAAUGCGUGAGAUAUCUGGAGGAACACCGGUGGCGAAGGCGGCAUCCUGGACCGACACUGACGCUGAGGAGCGAAAGCCAGGGGAGCAAACAGG